rnacentral:rRNA from 1 species
GACGAACGCUGGCGGCGCGCCUAACACAUGCAAGUCGAACGAGAGAUGAAGAGCUUGCUCUUCAAAUCGAGUGGCGAACGGGUGAGUAACGCGUGAGGAACCUGCCUCAAAGAGGGGGACAACAGUUGGAAACGACUGCUAAUACCGCAUAAGCCCACGGCUCGGCAUCGAGCAGGGGGAAAAGGAGCAAUCCGCUUUGAGAUGGCCUCGCGUCCGAUUAGCUAGUUGGUGAGGUAACGGCCCACCAAGGCGACGAUCGGUAGCCGGACUGAGAGGUUGAACGGCCACAUUGGGACUGAGACACGGCCCAGACUCCUACGGGAGGCAGCAGUGGGGAAUAUUGCACAAUGGGGGAAACCCUGAUGCAGCGACGCCGCGUGGAGGAAGAAGGUCUUCGGAUUGUAAACUCCUGUUGUUGAGGAAGAUAAUGACGGUAC